UUAAGCGCCCACAGUUUGUUUAAAACAGAGGAAGGCAUUAUAAAAGGUCCAUUGGUCUCCAGAAGUUCAGCCAAGCAGCUGGGAACCGGCUCCAAAAUGAAAGUAAGAACAAACAAACAAACAUAAAAAAAAUAAUCAAGGCAAACAAAAAGUAAAAUUGCAGCAUGCAGCAGCAGCGCAGAGAUCUUGCAGUCGAGCUUUCCUGCUCUCACGUGGAUCUCCAGGAAAGUGGUGUAGGUUUAUUUUCCAAGCGAAGUUUCCGCGGGAGCCACCGCCCCGCUCCGCGGUGUCCUGCCUGGCCUCGCCCGGCCCCGCCGCGCUUCAGCGCCGAGGCGCCCCGAGCUGCCGCCGGCUGCGCGGGGCCGGGUUUUGUUUUAAAGCUCGAGAAGGGAUCAGCGCGCAAAGCCUCAUUUCAGCCGAUCAACCUGGAGAGGGAGGAGGAGGGGUGGAAAUACGUGCUGCUGGAUUAAAUAAGAUCAAGCGGGAAAAAAAUUUAUAUAUAUAUAUAGGUGGCUAGAGAUCUCCCUGCCUGCCUCCUCCCCUCCCCCGAGACUGGCAGCUCCGAUCCUGCAGAAACGCCUGAGACUGUUUCUGACCAAGCCCAAGAAGUGGAAUGUACAACAUGCAAUCCUCAACACGCCAGUCUCCCAAGUGAGGAGAUUAUUAGAGCCUCUGCGGUGGGAGAUUAACCCUCCCAGCAAGAAAGCUGGAGGCUUUUCAGCUCUUCCUACACAAAAAAGAAACAACCAAAACCAAAAAAAACUUUGAAAAAAGGACAAGUAUGUACCAAAGACAAUCACAGAACUAAAAAAAAUACAUAUGAAACAUCGUUGCUCACACCUCCUCCUCAUUCUUUGGCUAUCUGUCUGCUGCUUAGGCCUCCAUCUAGCGUGGAGUUUUAGGUGGGUGGACACAAUGGGCUUAUUCACAAACAUCAAGCUCAGCACAUGCCUACGGCUUUGAUGGCUGAAGACCAUGGUGGGUCAGCUGCUUGGGACCAGGACUCGUGGGACUUUUCAGAAGGCUAAAACAGAGAAGUUCUGCAGAAGCUGGUUACCUUCCUGCUUUAUCUCCUGAUACACAUAUUCUCUCUGAGGUACCUAGAGCACUUCUGAAACAGCCGUAGUUACGUUUAAGUAUUUUCACAUUCCCCAAGUGCUCAUUCUGUAGGGAAAUACUGAAGCUGAAAGCACAUUGUGACAAAUAAAGUGUCUACAGUAACAAACAUGCAUAUACACAGUCAUAACACUAUACUGAGUAAACCAUAUAAACUAAAAUUAAACUUUCAAAGUUAAAAAUCAAGCACUCAUGAUCUUAACAGCAGUGAGCUCACCAGAGAAACCGUAUUUCUCCCUUCUCUCCUACAUGUACUCAUAUAUUAUGAAAGUUGCUCAUUGCAUGUUCACAUACAAUUUUUUUCUACAAACCUCUGUGCUUAAUUAACAAAAAGCCCUUCAAUGUUAUGUUUUCUCUUUUAUUUUUGAAAGCAUGCCCCAUGCUUUAUUCAUUACUCAUUUAUUCAGAUCCUAUUCUGCAUACAGAGUUAUUAACUUCCUCAUGGGCAUUUUAUGGAGCUUGUUGUUACAGUAUUCAUGGGCUUCAAAAAUAUUAACUGCUUUAGUUUCAUCAUACACCUCUCAGAUGAAGGGGUAUUGUGACAGGAUACGAAUAUUACAUUUGGGAAACAGUUAUAGAUUGCCUGGUUUGAUAUUGUACUUGGCACUAUAGAAAACCUUAUUUCUUCAAGGCCUGGUUCCCACUGCUUUCAGUUGUAGUAAUUUUACUCACUGACUAACUACCUCUAAUCAAACCCUGGAGUUUUCAAGCAUCUGAAAAUGAGAAGCAAAUUAUCAAGAAGUGUAAUUUAAAAGCCCUGAACCAGCUCGAUCAAGGAACUCUGUGGCAGAGACAAGAGCUAAGACACAAAUUUCAAGCUGUUCAGCUCUCUCAAGAAUUUUGCCACCGCUUCUCUUCCCAUAAUUCUUUUUCUUCAAUGAUUCCUUCAGUUUCUAGAAUAAACAUGGCCAGACUCCUGCCAGCAACAGCCCCAUCAUUAAUGAUAUCCACAUAAUUCAUCCACUGCUUUGAAUCUUCUUCUCCUCAACACAGUACCUGUUAGCAUGAAUAUGUCAUGCUGUGUUUGGCCAGGCAUUUGAAAAGAUGUGUCUCUCUUCACCACUGGAUUUCAUGGUUAUUACUGGCAGAAGAGGGAAUCUUGGGAUCCCUUCCAAACUCUGGGAGAGGGUGUUUUUAAAUAGCACACUCCCAUCUGCUUGCUUCCCAUGUCCAUGCUUUGCCUUAUCUUGGCUUGUUAUUUCAAACCUGUCUCCAGUCUCUCUUCAGUCUUGGCUGAUCCCACUUCUGUUUUUCUUAUCUAGUUAAUGCUGGUGUUUGAUUCUCAUCCCAGUUCCAGCUGCCCUAGUUGUACUUUUCUUUAAUCUUGUUCUGGUACUUCUCACUCUCAGAUUCAUCUUCAGCUAUGCAGGGUCCUUUUGUUGUUGUUUUGUUUUCACUCCCUUUAUCUAGUUGAUCUUUCUCUUAUGUCUCCUCUCCCGAUUUAACUUUUAGUUGUGUUAACAUCCACCCCCCUUGUCUAUUCUUUACUCCAGGUGUGCACCACAAAGCUGGUCUUGCUCCUUGACCGUAUUUCCCAGCUGCAGAGGGAAAGUCCUCGCUCCAAUCCUUACACUGCUAUUCAGGCAGUUUUUGCUUGUCUGCUGCCUUCCAUCUACCUCUUCACUCUGUUACUUUUCAGGCAUGGUUUCCUUAUGCAAAAAAUGUGGUUGUCCCAAAAUACAUCUAUUAUUCCCAUUGCUAAUUUCUCCUAAUCACACCCUACAUUCUUUCUCAGGAGCUUUGUGCGGACUCUACCAUGCUGCAAGAUCAGUUUUUCCUCCCCAUCUAUUCAAGUGAGACAACCUUCCCUUCUCCAUCCCACAGGUUUGACUGAGGUGGCUUAAGCAUCCGAAAUUAUUGCUUCUUCUCAAUUAAGUUACAGAUCCAAGCAAGGCACUGCUUAAAAUGAUCAUGUUAUAUAUCAUUGCAGGUGAGACACUCAGGUAAGAGAGCUGCUAAAACUGCUUCUAUUCAAGGCUGGCUGUGGUGAUGUGUAAGUCCAUACCAAUGCUAACAGAAAGAAAAAGGAGGAUCCUUGUUGGAGCUCACAGGGAACCAGAAAGACCUACACCUUCUUUACAGGGAGAAGAAAAAGAAAGACAAAAUAAAUUAUUGAAAUAUUGACUCACUAAUACUUCUAAACCCAGUAUUUUUGCUGUUUGGAUUACAGCAAUAGGGGCUCAGUUUUACAAGGCUUGUUCUAACUCACACAUGCUCUUUCCCAGAAUGGUUACUACAACGGGACCAUUCAGCUGUUUACCAACAAAUGAACAAAACUUGUAGCAAUGUACACAAAUAGGUAAGAAUGAUUGUCAUUAUAAUCUCCCCAUAUAAACAUUGCCUUUGCAUCAAAAUAAUUCUGUCAUUAGCUGGAAAGAGAUGAAGGUCUUCUUUACCUAUAGAAAUACUAUUGUUCUACUUAUGACCUAAAUGGCUCAGAGUUCCCUGCAGCUACCCUGACUCCGUAGAAAAUCAUACCCAUGUCUUCUUCCUACGCUGCUGUUGUACUGACAUAUUCCUGCAGCAAGGAGCCCAGCCUUUGUUACAUGCAAUGGAAUCCUCACGACUUACACAGUCAGUGAGAUUUCACACUUCAUUAGAGGCUAACACACACACUUACAUAAGGGUAAAGGCUGGGCAAGGCAUUGUAGUACCAAAAUCUAAAGCAUGUCUUAAAAGAGGUUUCUGGACGUUCCCUUAAUCAAAGUGUUCAAUGCUCAGGCAUUCUUUGGAAUCAGCAAAUUAAUUCUAGAGUUGAUUAAUAUGGUUUUGUCCUGGUGUUUUCUUCAGUGCAGCACAGAGAUGCCCAAAAACUUUUAACUAAAUACCUUGAAAAUACUAAGCAGUUUAGCAAAAUAUCUUUAGGCAGCUGUUGCAGUCAUCUACCUCUAGAAAACUUAGUGUUUCCACAUUACCCAAACACCUUGAUUAGGCUGAGCAAAGGCAUCUGGAAAACAGUUAGCAAAGCUGCUGAGAAAAGGAGGCUUUCAGCCCACAUCUUACAUAAUUGCUUCUGGGAGAAUAUUUUCCACUGUUUGGUGCCUGGGUGCAAUCUGUGAUGAAAGUAAUAAGAAAGGGAAAGGAAAAGUGGACAAAAAGGGGAAAGAAAGGUAGAAGUUGAAAUGGUAUCAUAAACAGCACCCUACCACAUUAUUAGUUUUUCAAAUAUUUUUUAGAAUAUCUGUGAUUAUUUAUAAUGAAUAAGUUAACUUGGGAAAUGAAUUAGCAUAGACUACCUACAUGGUGCAUCUAGGACAAGCAUAGUUAUUUUUAGUUAAGAUGUAAUUUUUAUAUCUCACUAUUUGGAUGAAUGUCCUCUUUGGUCUUUGAAUUAGUGUUUGGCCCACCCUAAAUACUACGAGUACUUUCCUCUUUGUGGAGCUUCUAUUGUGUUCUUCCACAAUAGAAAGGAAAUGGGGGAAGAAAGAGAAAGAAGGCUGGCCACAAGGCUGACCACAAUGAGACUGGCCAUGCUUUCAGCUGGGACACUAACACUUAGAGAUAGAAAACUUCUUGGCAUGAUUAUUUCCCCUUACAUAAUUUCAAAAUGGAAGUUCCUGAAGGUAUCUCUUGUAGACCUAUUAGAGGGAGUGAUUUUAAGAAAAAAAGAGAAAAUAUUUCACAAGUAACGAAUCCCUACUUUCAAAGCAUGCAUGCACGUUCAGUAUCAGAACAGUCAGGCAACUCUUUAAAAUCUUCAACAAUAUUUUAUAAUACUCCUUAAUUUUUAGCCCAGCAUGCAGACAUUUUGUUUGACAUUUCCAAAUCUGGGUUCUGUCUUUUCCUACCUCCAGCAGAGAAGAGCCUUAAGACAUAUUUGCUUUUCCCUCUGAACAUUAUUUCCCACUUCUUUUAAACAUUAAGAAAUUGUCUUCAAUUAUAAAGAUUCUGUAAUACAGAUGAAAAAGUCCCAUUAGAAAAUGGUGCAGAAUCGAAGGUAAAAUGAGUCUUCAGCUCUCCCAAAACUAAGCAUUCAUCCUCAUUGGUUUUUUUCCUUAUGAUCAGAAACCAGCACAGGAAAUCAUCCACAGGUAAUAUAUGCUCCUUGCAUCUAAAUUAAACUUGCCUACUCUUUUCAUCUUUUCUAAAUGCAGCAAAACUUUUACCAGAAAACCUGUUCAGUAAAUACAACGGUAAAUAUUCCUACAGCUCUGGAACAUGAACAUCUUCACUGCCCUGCCUGGCAAGGGGUGCACUAGGGCCUGCAGGGGUACAGCCUGACACGAGAGACCAGAGUCACAGUCAAGAGCACCAGAGCAGGAAAUAGCCUUUUUACAACUCAUUGUUAUCUCCCCACCGGCUUCUUCCAGGCAAAACAAGCAAAUGAGCUACUUCAGGAUUAGAUCUGGGAGCACAGUGCAAGUAAAAUUGUAUCGCUGGUAACUGAGUUUUCCUCAGAAACAUGUUCGAGGAUGACAAGGAAGAAAAAGGAGGCACAUUGAGGCCAAGCACCAGUUUUGAACAGUUGCAGAGCUGACACCACAAUAUCCUCAAGGAGAAAAUGGAUUAGGCAGGAGGCUCUUCAGCAUGCAGCAACAGACCAGCUCUGUCUGCAAUAAAGAGCAUUCACAUGGCUAAGAAAUGAAAAUUAUUAUAAUGACAAAUACAUAUUCCCUUUCACCUAUGGGCAUAGUAAAGGACAGCAAAAAAUGAGAAGGUUUAUUUUCAUUUUAUAGUUUUAAAAAGUUAUUUUACAAGUCCGUGUAACUGGAGGAUACUAAUACUGUGUGUGUAAAAGCAUCUAGAAUAUAAUUAAAACUAGUACUAAUUACUGUAUAAAUUGUGAUCCUAUCCUUAUGACUGUAUGAGUAAAACGUUUAUAGUCAUUCUUGAAGGCACUCUGUAUCAGAAACAUUUCUCUUCCUUAUCCACAAAUUAUACAGAUAUAUCAGUUUUGCAUAUUAAAUUUGAGAACUUAUAAAUAAAGAGAAACUGCAUUAAAUCAGUAACAUGCCAAAUAUCAAUAUGUCAUUUUGAUUAUUUCAUGCUCAGUAAGUACAAUAUCUCUAGACCUUAUAGUGUUUAUUAAAGGUACUUUUACUUCAAAAGGGAUUCUCUUCCUUCCCUUUAUCUACUUACAUUAUCAAAAUGCCAUGAAUUCAAUAAAAUUUACCUUUAAUAGAUAAAUCUUAUUAAUCUAAAAACCUCAGAAUCUGCUCAUCUGUAAGGUAUUUUUGGAAAAUAAGAGGCUUCAGCAGAGCCUGGCAUAACUAUCAUCUGGGAAGCUACUCCUUUUGUAUGUUCCAUUCUUUUAAUAGAGAAUAAAUAAAAUGUAUCAAGCUAGCAGUGGCUGAAUGGAACAGAUGAAACAUCUGCCUUUGUGACAGAAUUGUAUUUUUAGAACUUGUGUCUUCAGCAUUGUUUUCUGUGACCAUAACAGACUUGGCUGAAAAAAGGAGAAGGAUAUGGGUUGAUCACCUCUAGGACGACCAGCAGCUAGGCCAGCCAACAAACCCCUUGGGGCCCUUGCUAUAUCUUUUAAUUAGAAGGACACCAGGACACUCUGUGGCAUGGUUACUACUUUUUCUCCUCUUCUAAGAAUAGCAGUGAGGAGAUUUAUUUUAGGGACCCAGUGCCACAGAAAUCAAAGACAAAGCAAAAACUUGAUUUCCUUUUUCUGUCUUACUUUGUUUUCAUGUGGACCACUGUGUGUGUUCUUCAAGUAUCUGAGAAUGCCUGGAGAUAUAAAGAAUAGUAAAUUUUUUUCUUACCACAGUAUCUUUUCCUGUCAGGCGAAGGUGAAAACUCAGCUCCAAUCAAGUUCUAAGAGAGAACAGAACAUCAUGGGUCUACAACAGAUACCAUUUUUCUCUCAUAGCCCCUGCUCCAUGUAUUAGAGAGCUCCCCAUAGAUCAAACCCCCUAACCAAGUUUUUGCCCCUCUCAGUUUUUCUCACUGUUUACAAUUCUCCCCAUAAGUAAGGUUUUAUUCUUUUUAUUCUGUAAAGGAGGAUCAUUCUUCCACAGAUGCUGCUAUCUCAAAAGCUGUGUAGAUUACGGGCUGCACUGCCACUUUGAAAAAUGUGAUGAGUAUCUGACCACCUGUCUGUAUUAUCUGUAAUCAAAAAUUUCUUGAAACUAAGAUCUCAACUCUAACAGUUUAUCAAAAAACUAAGUGAAAUUUACCUCUAUUUUUGUGAUUGUUUAUUGUUUGAGCUUUAGCUUUUACCACCCAAAAGCAAUUUAGUGAAAAAAAUUUCCCCAAAUCUGAACUACUUCAUAAAAGCCUUCAUAAAGACUCCAAAAUAAUACUUUGAUUGAGUUGAUCUGUGAUGCAACUGCUGACCACAUUAUGCCAGGUCUUCAUUAGAAUCACAGAAUGGCCUGAGUUGGGUGGGACCUUAGAGAUCAUCUAGUUCAAACCCACCACACCUGUGGAGAGGGGUGCUGCUCACUAGGUCAUAAAAUAAAAUACAUCAUAAAAUUAAAACCUGAGAGAUACAUUAUGUUAGCAGACAUUGGUUCAGCAGGCUGCCUCUUCAGAGGAUACACUGAAUAGAUGGAAUCUCUUAAAAAUAUGUUAUUCCCUGAAAGUGUUGGGCUUUGUGCAUGCAGCAUACUGUAAUCAAAUCGAGCCACUUCAAUGUUUAUUGUAUUAUCUAUAAUGCUAUGACUAGCAAAAUGCAAGUCCAUUAUACACUAGCAGUUCACGGACAGUAUCAGUCCUCUCAAAACUAGAAAGAUGUGUUUGGAAAGCCUGCAUGAAGGGAAACAAACAUCUCUAAUACAACUUUUGGCAACAAAUUUAAUAUGAAAAUGCAUUUUAAAUUGCAUUUAUAAUGAUGGAAAUUCCUGCUCACAAAGACAUAUUGUGCAGAGAAGCACAUAUUCCAUCUGCCUGGGCAACAUAAGGACUCUUAAUAUUGACUAGAGUGGAAUUCUGACUCCACCUCCUUUCUGUGGUCAGACUGGGCACCAACUUGGAUGAAACAGAGCAAAUUUCUUUUGUUUUGCCUUGUUUGAGAAAAAUAAAUGCAAAGUUGGUCUGUGGGGCUCCCAUCACAUGUUAGUCACCUGUGUAGCUUCUUUCAUUAAGAGUGAGCCACUGAGGAGUGAUUUCAAGAUAAGUUUUGGCAUUUACUGAGAGGACAGAGAUUUGUCCAGCAGUACAUACCCAGGUAGGUUUAGUGGCUUAGCAUGGGCUGCUUACAGGUAACUCAGGGGUCCAGUACCAUCCGCACAGACAGCUCAGGUGAAACACUGAAGGAGAAGGCAAAACAAGGUUACUGUCAGAGGUUAAAGGAGUAAGUCCAUGUACCCCAGAAGACUGAGUCAAGAGCAGAACCCAAAGGCAGGCAAGGUGGAAAACAGGCACAACACUGGGAAUCACUAAGAAAGUGUACAUGAGCCUGAAGCAAAGCUGGCCUAGUGGUCCACUGCAGGAGCUGGAUGGAAAUGGACCCUAUGAAGGGGGUACAGGUGAAGGAUCAGGAGACAGAACAAGGGCCACAGCCCAAGACCUUUGCCAGAUGACCACUGGUGUCUGCCUGUUAAUGCUGUGGCUUGAGGCAGGACCCUUUGUUUACUGGGUUUUUUGGCAGCCUCAGUAACCAUUAGCUUUUGCCCAGUUUUUUCCUUCCUCAUGUGCAUAGAAACUUGUCACAAAGUGACACUGUUAGAACAGUGUUGCAGAAAAGCAGUCAAAAGUUGGAGCUUGUCCACUGAUUGCAACUCACUGUAAUUUUAUAUACCGUAAAAUAUAAAACUUACACCCACAACCACCAAGCCUCAUACCUAAGAACAGAUAAUAUCUUUGGGAAAUGUCAUUAUAAAAUUAAAAAGUUUCUUAUAAGCAAAAACUGGGAUCAUAUAACAUUGCCUCUGGAGUUGCAUAACACAGGAUGUAUAAACCCAGAUAGUAUGUACAUAUUUUCUUAUAUAUCUAUUUUGCAGUUCUUUGUAUUCUAUUUCUAUGAUUAAAAUUUUUAUAGCAA